UCUUCCUCACUCUCUCAACCACCGAUCCUUCAACUUCAACUCCAAAUUCAAUCCCAAUUGACUCUCUUCUUCUCAGUCUCAACAUCAACCCCUCCCUCUCGACCUCACCUCCAAGCAGCUUCUCGACACCCUUCGUCGCCAGAAGGAUGAGUCCUCCGCGCUUCACAUCUUCGACUGGGCCUCGAAACAGCCUAAUUUCUCACCCACUACCUCCAUCUACCAGGAGAUUCUUCGCAAACUCACCAAGGUUGGCUCUUUCGAAUCCAUGACCAAUCUCCUUCUCGAUAUGAAGUGCUCCGCUUGCCCCGUCGAUAAAGGUUCGACUAGGUAUACGGCUAUGGUCAUAUGUAAGAGAAGAAGCCUCUCAUGGAAGGAAAGCUCCAAUUGAUCCUUUCACUCAUGAAAGUUGCAAGCCCUCUGCAUCUCAAGGUGUUCCACUUGGAGGCAUGGG